GGGGAAGGGCUGUAGCUCAGUGGUUGAGCAUCCACUUUUGUGCCCAGAAGGUCCUGGGUUCAAUUCACGGCAUCCCCA